AUUGAACGCUGGCGGCAGGCCUAACACAUGCAAGUCGAACGAGUGGCGGACGGGUGAGUAAUGUCUGUGAAACUGCCUGAUGGAGGGGGAUAACUACUGGAACCGGUAGCUAAUACCGCAUACCAUCGGAUGUGCCCAGAUGGGAUUAGCUAGUAGGUGGGGUAAAGGCUCACCUAGGCGACGAUCCCUAGCUGGUCUGCGAGGAUGACGAGCCACACUGGAACUGAGACACGGUCCAGACGCCUACGGGAGGCAGCAGUGGGGAAUAUGGCACAAUGGGCGCAAGGCUGAAGCAGCCAUGCCGCGUGUAUGAAGAAGGCCUUCGGGUUGUAAAGUACUGUCAGCGGGGAGGCGUUACCCGCAGAAGAAGCACCGGCUAACUCCGUGCCAGCAGCCGCGGUAAUAC
rnacentral:rRNA from 1 species